rnacentral:rRNA from 1 species
UUCCGGUUGAUCCUGCCGGACCUGACUGCUAUCGGAUUGAUACUAAGCCAUGCGAGUCAUUGUAGCAAUACAAGGCAGACGGCUCAGUAACGCGUAGUCAACCGAACCUAUGGACGGGAAUAACCUCGGGAAACUGAGAAUAAUGCCCGAUAGAACACUAUACCUGGAAUGGUUUGUGUUCCAAAUGAUUUAUCGCCGUAGGAUGGGACUGCGGCCUAUCAGUUUGUUGGUGAGGUAAUGGCCCACCAAGACUAUUACAGGUACGAGCUCUGAGAGGAGCAGCCCGGAGAUGGGUACUGAGACACGGACCCAGGCCCUAUGGGGCGCAGCAGGCGAGAAAACUUUGCAACGUGCGAAAGCA